AGGGGUUUAGUUCAACGGUAGAAUUAAGGUCUCCAAAACCUCAGAUAUGGGUUCGAUUCCUAUAACCCCUGCCA
rnacentral:tRNA from 2 species